rnacentral:rRNA from 1 species
GCGAACGCUGGCGGCAGGCCUCACACAUGCAAGUCGAACGAACCUUUCGGGGUUAGUGGCGGACGGGUGAGUAACACGUGGGAACGUGCCUUUAGGUUCGGAAUAACUCAGGGAAACUUGUGCUAAUACCGAAUGUGCCCUUCGGGGGAAAGAUUUAUCGCCUUUAGAGCGGCCCGCGUCUGAUUAGCUAGUUGGUUGAGGUAAUGGCUCACCAAGGCGACGAUCAGUAGCUGGUCUGAGAGGAUGAUCAGCCACAUUGGGACUGAGACACGGCCCAAACUCCUACGGGAGGCAGCAGUGGGGAAUCUUGCGCAAUGGGCGAAAGCCUGACGCAGCCAUGCCGCGUGAAUGAUGAAGGUCUUAGGAUUGUAAAAUUCUUUCACCGGGGACGAUAAUGACGGUACCCGGAGAAGAAGCCCCGGCUAACUUCGUG